GUCUUACAGCCGCCGCCGUAACACAUGCAAGUCGAGCGCCCCGCAAGGGGAGCGGCGGACGGGUGAGUAACGCGUGGGAACGUACCCUUUGCUACGGAAUAGCCUCGGGAAACUGGGAGUAAUACCGUAUGUGCCCUUCGGGGGAAAGAUUUAUCGGCAAAGGAUCGGCCCGCGUUGGAUUAGGUAGUUGGUGGGGUAAUGGCCUACCAAGCCGACGAUCCAUAGCUGGUUUGAGAGGAUGAUCAGCCACACUGGGACUGAGACACGGCCCAGACUCCUACGGGAGGCAGCAGUGGGGAAUCUUAGACAAUGGGCGCAAGCCUGAUCUAGCCAUGCCGCGUGAGCGAUGAAGGCCUUAGGGUUGUAAAGCUCUUUCAGUGGGGAAGAUAAUGACUGUACCCACAGAAGAAGCCCCGGCUAACUCCGUGCCAGCAGCCGCCGUAAGAC
rnacentral:rRNA from 1 species